CAUAUCUGAAGAGGGAGCCGGGGAAGAGAAUUUAUGAGGCAUUUUCCCUUACACACUUGAGAGUGUUUUGAACAAUGAGACUGUGGAAGAGAUCCCUGUAUUUUUUAGACCUAAUUCAGAGUAAUGUCCAAAACUCGUUUAUUGCUCUAAGCCUAGGAGCAAUAAGAAUCCUUUUGUGAGAUAGGCUUAUGUCCAACAUAUUUAUUUCAAUAAAAUGCAUCUUUGUUUCUCACUUCGAGCAAAUAUUCUUUUAUUGUUUCUAUUUCAUUCAUAAUCAUACUAUACAGAUAAAUAUUCUUCGAUUCUUUUGUUCUUUGGAUCUUCCUUCGUCCCUAUAAUAGAUCUCUAGAUAUCUAUGAUAUGAGUGACCCUGCUAUUGACUCAGAACCCCCUUUUGAGCAAAAUAUGUGUCUAGAGGAACCACAAGACUUUGUAGAUGACCGAGACUAUAACUUAUCUCCUGAUCUGUUAAGGAUGGUAGAAAAAAAUGAGAAAUAUAUCCUACCUUACAAAGAAUCAAUAAAAUCCAUGGUCUUUCUCUAUGUGGGGCAUGGAUGUCAUUAGGCUGAUCUCGCCAAAAGCUUCUGGUGGUCAUCAAUUCAUCUUUGUGGUCGUCGAUUACUUCACUAAGUGGAUGAAGCUGCUUCAUAUGCCAAAGUCACAAAGUCGACAGUCAGUAAAUUUUUGAAAAAAAGAAAUCAUAUGUCGGUAUAAAAUGCCAAAAAAGAUCAUAUCUGACAAUGCACUAAAUUUGAACAACAAUACGAUAUAAGAAGCUUGCAGUCUAUUAGAGAUUAACACCAUAUUACCACAAAAUGAACGGUACAGUAGAGGCAAAAAAAAUCUACUAGGGCAACGCCUUUCUCAUUAGUUUAUGGAUGGAGGUGGUUUUGCUCAUUGAAGUCGAGGUUCCUUCUCUCCGAGUUUUAUUAGAGUUUAAGUUGGAUGAAGCAGAAUAAAUUUAAUCCCGAUAUGACCAGCUAAACUUGCUAGAAGAAAAGAGGCCUUAUUUGGAAAAGCAUCGAUAUUGACUAAGAUGGAUGGCAAGAACCUUCCGAACCCUGUGAAUUCUGAUUCAAGCAAAACAUACUUCACUUUUUUUAAAAAAAGAAAAAAUGAAAAGAAAAAAGAAAAAAGAAAAGAAAAGAAAAAGAAAAACAAAUAAAAGAAAAAUAAAAAAGAUAGGCUAAGGUGAAAACCCGCAAAAGGGCACCUUGAGACCAAAAGGGUUUUGAGUUGAAAACCCAGGAAUGGGCAAUUCAAAUUUUUGAUCAAAGGUGGGGCAUGUGGUCUUCUUGUCCUCUCCGAAUUAACAAGGAGGGGUGCUACAUCUUAGGGCAUCAACAAAGUCUUCUAGGACAUUUAAACACGUAUCAAGUUCAAAGGGUCCUCGAGAAGUUUUGUGCAGAGAAGCUCAUGCUACGAUAUUUAGGGCAUCUAUUUUCAUCUUAUUCAUUUCAUAUCUUAGCAAAAUUUUCUAUCUUGAUUAAUUUAUUCAUUUUAAGCUUUGCUCUCAAUAAAAUUUCAUCUUGUCCAUUGUGAUAAUUUUUUCAAGCAUUUUUCAUUGAAAUAGCGAUUAAUGGACUGAUAAUAUUCAAGCAAAAAGAGUUCUGCAUAUUACUCUAAAAGCUUCUAAAUACUACGAGGACCUGAAAAAAGACCAUUUGUCAGGACUAACGAAACAUAAGGGUUGGAAACAUUUGAGAAAGAAUAGUCUAAAUUGUGACUAUUUCUUUGGAUUUUCUGUUAAAGAUACCAGCUGAACAAGAAGGCAUGGUAACACAUUAGUGAUAGAACCUUGAUGAACAACGAGCAGUGUCAACCUAAGCAUUAAAAAUGGAUCAUUGUCGUGACAUAUGCAUUCAUGCAAAUAUCAUUCAUACACAUCUAGUUAGGAGCAUUUGAUUCAUUCUAAUCAUGACAUCCUAAUCACUAGGCAUAAAUAAGUCCAUGAAAUGGAUUCUACAGGUCAUGUUACCCAGAGAAUGGUGUAACAGGUCAAUGAAACCAUUAAUCCUAUACCCCUAAAGUUGUAGUGGGAUGGAUUGAAGAUUAUAACAAACCUUAUCUCCCUGAAGUUGUAGUGGAGCAGGUUGAAGAUACCAAUCUUAUCUCCCUGAAGUUGCAGUGGAGCAGAUUGAAGCUACUAAUCCUAUCUCCCUAAAGUUGCAGUGGAGAGAAUUAAAACAAUGAAUCCUAUACCUCUGAGGUUGCAGUAGGUUAGAUUAAAUCUACCAUAGCAAGUCUUAUCUCCCUAAAGUUGCAGUGGAGCAGACUGAAGAUAGUGAAUCUUAUUUCCCUAAAGUUGUAGUGGAACAGAUUGAAGCUAUAAAUUACAGAUAUUAUCUCUCUGAAGUUGCAAUAGAGCAGAUCAUAUCAAACCUUAUCUCCCUGAAGUUGCAGUGGAGCAGGUUGAAGAUAACAAUCUUAUCUCUUUGAAGUUGCAGUGGAGCAGAUUGAAGUUACUAAUCCUAUCUCCCUGAAGUUGCAGUGGAGCAGAUUAAAAUAAUGAAUCAUAUACCUCUGAGGUUGCAGUAGGUCAGAUUAAAUCUACCAUAGCAAGUCUUAUCUCCCUGAAGUUGCAGUGGAGCAGACUAAAAUCGCAAGUCUCAUCUCCCUAAAGUGGCAGUAGGUUAGAACAAGGCUACUUGAAGAAGAUGAGCACCAAGAAGUCAAGAUUCGAUGAGACCGGGUAAAAUUGGUCCUUCUUAAAAGUCUAUACUCCAUUCUCGUUACAUGACAACGAUCAAAGUGGGGCAGCUGUAAUAGCCCAUUUUUGCCCGAGCCCAAAACUAAAACCCAAAAUAAAAAUUAUAAUCCAUCAGAGCCCAAUUCAGACUUAAAUUAACCCAUUACAUAUCAAGCCCAAACCCUAAACCCAAACUAAACCCUAGCCCACAAAACUUAAAAAAUUUUCAGCCAAAAGAAACCCUAGGUAGGCCACUCUUAGGCCUGCUCCUGGCCACCGCACACCAGCCACCUCCACACCCGCAACACGCGUCUGACACCUGCAAAAUGAAGAACUACACGCAACAGCAAGAAAGCCAAUAGCAAGAGGACAAAAAAAAAUAGAAAUUAAAGGAUUGUAACUUGGCUAUAAAAGCCAAAGUAUUCUCGUUGUAAUUUUUUUACGCACACUAGUAAAUCAAAAAAGCAAGAUAGAAGUUUUAAAAGGUAUUGAUUUGUGUCGAAACCAUUUUUUAUUUUGAAAAAAUGGGGUCGACUUUUAAAACAAAAAAAUGUAGUCGCCACCGAUAUUUUAUUGAGGUGUGACCGGAUCACCUUGAAAAUAAUUUCAGGUCUACGAAUUUUGAGAAAAUAGGUUCGGGAGUCAGUUACGCAUGAGGAAGGGUUAGCACCCUCGUAACGCCCAAAAUUGGUACCUAAUUGAUUAUUAAUGUCUUAUAGUCGAAUGUCAUAAAUUUGAAAUGAUUAAAAAUGAUCCCCCUUUAUUAAUAACAUAUCUUAAAAUAGUACUUGGAUAAAUUUAAACGAAUGUAAAAAAGCCUUCUCAUCCUGAGACGACAAAAUGUCGUAUCCCGUAAGUUAGGAUGCAACAUUUGAAUUCCCGAGCGUAAGCUAAAAAUUAUUUAUUGAAACUUUGUAUAUUUGAAAACUAAGAUAUUUAGACGUUUUAGUUCAACGGGAAAGAUCGAAACCCCGUAAGUUAGAGCACGAUUUAUCAUCGUUCCAAAGACAACAUAUUGCAAACUUCAUUUUCCUUUUUUUACGAAAUUGGAUCAAAGCGAAGGUUUAAUGCAAUAUUAAAAAUGAUAUAAAUUUGAUUUAUUCGAAAUUAAAAGAAAUGAAAUAAUCAAAUUAACUAUGAUGUAAUGUUCAGAACUGAAAAGCAAAUGUAUGAACAUAGAAUAAUAUACAUGAGCAGAAUACUAAACAAUAUGCUCGUACAAACCCCAAACACAUAAUAAUUAUCGAGCUCGAAAUAAUAUAUAAAACAAACUUAAUUCCAAAGAAGGGGUACAUAAAUAAAACAACAUGAAGUAAGUAAUAGGCUAAAAAA
rnacentral:lncRNA from 1 species